CCCUUAGAUGUUCUGGGCUGCACGCGCGCUACACUGAUGCAUCCAGCGAGUUGUAACCUUGCUUGGUAAAGUUUGGUAAUCUGAGCCUAAUGUGCAUCGUGAUGGGAAUAGAGUUUUGCAACUAUUAGUCUUGAACGAGGAAUUCCUCGUAAGCACGAGUCAUCAGCUUGUGCUGAUUACGUCCCUGCCCUUUGUACACACCGCCCGUCGCUCCUACCGAUUGAAUGGUCCGGUGAAGCCUCCGGAUUGGCGCGCACCUCGGUGCCGCCGAGAAGUUGGCUAAACCUUACCAUUUAGAGGAAGGUGAAGUCGUAACA
rnacentral:rRNA from 1 species